rnacentral:tRNA from 1 species
UCCUUGGUAGUUCAAUUGGUAGAACGCUCGGCUGUUAACCGAAAAGUUCCUGGUUCGAGUCCAGGCCAAGGAG